rnacentral:rRNA from 1 species
UCGUCACACUAUCAUUAACUGAAUCCAUAGGUUAAUGAGGCGAACCGGGGGAACUGAAACAUCUAAGUACCCCGAGGAAAAGAAAUCAACCGAGAUUCCCCCAGUAGCGGCGAGCGAACGGGGAGGAGCCCAGAGCCUGAAUCAGCAUGUGUGUUAGUGGAAGCGUCUGGAAAGGCGCGCGAUACAGGGUGACAGCCCCGUACACAAAAGCGCAUGUGCUGUGAGCUCGAUGAGUAGGGCGGGACACGUGGUAUCCUGUCUGAAUAUGGGGGGACCAUCCUCCAAGGCUAAAUACUCCUGACUGACCGAUAGUGAACCAGUACCGUGAGGGAAAGGCGAAAAGAACCCCGGCGAGGGGAGUGAAAAAGAACCUGAAACCGUGUACGUACAAGCAGUGGGAGCACAGGUUUACCUGUGUGACUGCGUACCUUUUGUAUAAUGGGUCAGCGACUUAUAUUCUGUAGC